CUUGACACUGAACACUGGUCCUUGAUGUGUAGGAUAGGUGGGAGGCUUUGAAGCGUGGACGCCAGUCUGCGUGGAGCCGACCUUGAAAUACCACCCUUUAAUGGCUGGUGUUCUAACGUAGACCCGUAAUCCGGGUUGCGGACAGUGUCUGGUGGGUAGUUUGACUGGGGCGGUCUCCUCCCAAAGAGUAACGGAGGAGCACGAAGGUUGGCUAAUCCUGGUCGGACAUCAGGAGGUUAGUGCAAUGGCAUAAGCCAGCUUGACUGCGAGCGUGACGGCGCGAGCAGGUGCGAAAGCAGGUCAUAGUGAUCCGGUGGUUCUGAAUGGAAGGGCCAUCGCUCAACGGAUAAAAGGUACUCCGGGGAUAACAGGCUGAUACCGCCCAAGAGUUCAUAUCGACGGCGGUGUUUGGCACCUCGAUGUCGGCUCAUCACAUCCUGGGGCUGAAGUAGGUCCCAAGGGUAUGGCUGUUCGCCAUUUAAAGUGGUACGCGAGCUGGGUUUAGAACGUCGUGAGACAGUUCGGUCCCUAUCUGCCGUGGGCGCUGGAGAAUUGAGGGGGGCUGCUCCUAGUACGAGAGGACCGGAGUGGACGCAUCACUGGUGUUCGGGUUGUCAUGCCAAUGGCACUGCCCGGUAGCUAAAUGCGGAAGAGAUAAGUGCUGAAAGCAUCUAAGCACGAAACUUGC
rnacentral:rRNA from 1 species